AUCAUUGGAAAAAAUUCUGUCAGUUGUUUUUCUUGAAGUGGCAUGCUCACUUUAUUCACUUUCAAGAAAAUGUCUGCCACAUACUCAAGUAUGAACACUAUAAUUUGUCUGUUAGUUGUUCUUUAAAGUAAAAAUAGUUUUCCAACAAAAAAAGUGGUCAGUUAAGCUUGCAACUCAAACAAUCACACAAAUUGUUUUCCUCCAGAUUACCAUUGACCAUCCUACUUCAGUAUGCAACAAGUGUUUUAUGCGUAUUUCUCAUUUUAGGACACACAAUAUUAAAGAGAUGGGUGAUCAACAGUAAAAAUCUAGCAAAAGUAAUAUAUUUUACUUUUUCAUCAAGAGUAAUUUUCGAUGAAAUUGGCAUACACACAGACAUGUAUAUGUAUGCGUGUAUAUGUAUGUGUGUGUAGAUAUGUUUGUCUAUAUGCAUAUAUCUAUAUAUUUAUAUAAACUGCAAAUACAUGACAGUAAGUAAUACAAUGACUACUAGUGUAAUUUGGUGUCACUGCCUCAAUUCAUGUUGAGGUGCCAACAAUUUUAUCACUAUUUUUUUUUGUACCAUCAGUGCAAAUGUCAGCAUAGUCAAAAAGGCAAAUAACAACUCUAGGGUUAUUCUAAAAACAGAAUUGACCUUGCAGAAUAGCUCUCAGGGACCUACAAGUGUUCAGGUACCUCACUUUGAAGACUGUUUCACUGUAAACACUUCUUGCUUCUCCUGCUCAAUUCCUCAUGUUGGUUGCUAAAUGAGAAAAAAAUAGUCACUAAAUGAUAUAUUACUGAAAACACCAUUUAGUGUAUUAGAAAUCACCAAUCAGAAGGUAAAUAAGUUCAUCAAGUAAUUUAUUUAUAAUAAAAAUCAAGUUUGCCCAAGUCACUCUUAUAGGCUGAAUGUUGUGUGUCCCCCAAAAUUCACAUAUGGAAAUUCCAACUCCUCCCUGCCCUCAGUGUAGCUGCAUUUUUAGAUGGGGCCUUUAAGGAUGUUUAAGGUUAAACGAGGUCACAAGGGUAGGGGAUUGAUCCAAUAGUACUAAUGUCUUCAUAAGAAGAGAUUCCAGAGUGCUCACUCUUGCUGUCUCUGCCAUCUGAGCACACAGCAAGAAGGCAGCCGUCUACAAGCCAGGAAGAGAGCCCUUAACAGGAACUGACCCUGCCAGACCUUUACCUGCAACUUUCAGCCAAAAGAACUAUCAGAUUUAUUUGGAGAAAACAGGAAUCCCACAACCCAAAGGAUGGGAUUUUACAUCAAGACAUCUCCCAGGCUGACAUUUCUUGGCAACCUACGGAAGCUGUUCUGAUGAGCCUCUGUGUUAGUAAAGAAUACAUGUA